AAGCGCUGCACUAUGCGUGUGCUGCUGUGAGCACAUGGAGGAGAGAGGACGUACACUUAGCAGCCUGGCUAAUGUAGCCUGUGGCUCGCAAAAUAUUAGGAAAUGAAGAUCAUCUCAGAUCUGGAAAGUGGACUGACUUGCCUAAGGCGUCCAACAUGGCCUUGGACGUGUCAAAAAUAUCUUGUGUCACGAAGAUGAACAAAGGUCUUACGGGUUUGGAAUGACAUGAGGUGAUCAGCCGCUCUGCCGGCCUCCGUUUGGAAACUGACGGUGAUGCCAGUUGACGGAAAUGGGACGUCAUGUGAACGCUACAUGUGAAUGUGUGUGACGUGCGGUUGCUGCGUUUUUCGGGUACGUCAUGGCUGGAAGCAGGCUUUAGAUACUCACCCGGUCCCAAAAUGGAAUUAUGGCAGCAGAGCACACUGCUGGAUCGGCCGUCGCUGGACGUGACACAGCAGGUGUUCCUCCCAACAUGGGGGGAAAAAAGCCACACGUGAAGGUGCUGUAAUGCUGUAGCCUUCUGCAAGGAUCAGGUCACCAGGCUUUGGAUUGUGAUAGGCUCCAUCUAGCCUUGGUCACAUCCAUAUAUAGAGCAAGACGUUAUGGCUGUGUGCGCAGAAAGCAUGCCGCUUGUGAAACGGGGGAAUUAAAUGUCCUAGAGAGGCUGUUCCAGGCCUGUCGCUCUGAGGGGCCUCUGAGCGUUUUCCCCCGGCUGUGCGUGCAGCUGCGGCUGUAAAACCUCCGCCGUCAGCAGCUGAUAGUGAUCUGUGUUUGCAGUGCAGCAUCUGCAUAAUCAGUAUGCAUGUCUGUGUCUCGGGGAUGAGAGAACAAUAUUGAGGAUAUGAGCAGUCCCUUCACCUUCAAGAGUCAUCUUCAAAAUGGCGUUUGUUCUUUUUCCUAAGUUUCACUUUGAGAAACCAGCCGGGGUAUCAGCCAUUCACUCUGGCACUGAGGAAUACGGUGAAGAGGCCGUUCUGUGCGAUAAGAGUGCUACGCCGGACACCAUGACCUUCAGAGGACUGGACUGAACUUGAACUGUGUUUAAGCAGCAUGAAGUCAGUAACAUGAGGCUUUUACCUAAACACAAGGUCUACCUGGAGCCAUGAGUCAUACUGCCAUCAACCUCACUCAAACCGUAACGCUGAUGUCACCAGAGAUCUUAAACAGUGAAGAGGUUGUGUGUCUGUUAUCCAUAUCCUCUGCUGGAGGACUCAAACUGGACUGAAUUCCUUUGUAAAGUGGUCUCUCACCUUUAUCGUGGGACAUGUCAUCGUUACUGGGUGGUCCUGUCAAAGAGCAGGCCAGGCACACGUGUACCAGCUCUCUGAAGAAGGCCAGUUCAGUGGAAACUACCAAGCAAACACUCUGAAAAGGACACACGCUCCCUCAAUGUCAGCAAAUAUUUGGUCACAACUUCAAAGGGAAGUGACAGUCGUUUGAAACUGGGAAUGAAGGCACUAUUUGAGCAGCGCGAGAGGUCCCGUCACGCUCGACUGCCGGCAUUUACGCUCCGUCCUCUCUCACUGCACACCUUCCCAUGGAGAUUGGCUCAACUUUGUUUCCUCUAAGAUGAAUGUCUCUCUGAACCUCUUGUGGCAUUUGAGUGAACUGCAGUUACAGAUUCCAGCUCUGAGGUGAUUCAUCGAAUUGGAGCUACAGAGGAAUUUGCUGCAUCACAGACCAAAUCUGUUCAGAUUUUCACGUGUACACAACAUUCCUUUGACGUGACCAACAA